ACCGGCUGUGUUUUCCCUCUGCGCCCUCCUGAGUCUCUCAGGCCCUCUGGCCUGCCCGGAACUGGUACAAAGAGAAGGGGUUUGCCAAGUCCAGGUUCUGGACCAACUAGGUGAAUCUGGGACAUCACUUCGCUUCUCUGAGCCUCCUUUUCCCAGUGAUCGUCCUGCCCAUCCAUGGAGAGAGCUGGAGAGAAGAAACCCGGACGACAUUAUCUGAGCCCCUGGAUACACCCAAGCCUCAAGUCCUUGGAUGGUGCCUCCCCAACUCUCUGCCAGACCACAGGCAGGAACGUCCAGGAAGUGCUUGCUUCUCUAGACCCCUGUCCCUGCCUCAGAUCUACAGCCCACUAGGCAGGAUGGUGCUCCAGAUGAAUCCACUUGAACUACGGAGAAAAGAACAAAACCUGAGCAGAGAGUGAGUCCCUUAAAGGAAAUAAUCCUGGAACGAACUGGAUGGUCCAACUAUGGUUUCUGAUGUUGCAUUAUUGAAGAACAAUACCUACCUAGCCUACAAGACCACCCAGGCUUCCAAUGUCCCCCCAUAUUCCACUCUGACAUCAAUAGGUGUCUCGGAUUCAUUGCCAGAUUCCUCCAGAGGAUGAGUCAUCCACGCUCCAGUUUUCCUCUAUAAUCAGCUCAUACAUUAUCAACUUCAUGAGGCUGGAGCAGGAGAGGAGAGAAGAGUUAUUCCCCAGGGCUCUCCAGCAGAUGUCCAAACUCUUACAACAGUGAUGGUAAAUUGUCUCUUCUCCAUGAAGCAGAGGCAGGGCAUCCAUCUGAAAGCUGCACAAUGCAAUGAGAGGUCUGCAGACCUGGGUCCUGGUCCUGACUCUGCCACCGGAGGCUUGUGGGAAAACCAUAUAACCCAUUGGUGCAGGGUGUGCCAAGGAAUGAUCAUGAGAAACAGUGAGAUAAUGUCUGGGAAGCCCUUCGAGCUUCUCAGAAGCGAGAGGCAACAUAAACACAAGGUGUUAUUACCUCCAAGCCCACAGCAGCCAAGGACAUCAGAGUUGUGAUUCCUGCAGAAACCUCUCUCCUCAGACCUGAAAGGACCAGUUGACCCUUCAGCUUCUCAUCCAGCUGAAAUACCCAAGCUCUGGAAGACUUGGUGGAAGUUGACCAUCUGGUUGAAGAUAAGGAGUGUUGUUGAAGUGAACAUCUCGAUUUUUUAAUCACAGACCCUCACAACUGGAAAGGAUAUUAACAAUUUAGCUCCUGACUCUAUUCAGAGGAGAAGCUGAGUCCAGAGAGUUCCAUACAUAACAUUCCCUGAAAGCUUGCUGGAUGUUAGAUAGAUGCUGGGUGAGAAGAUGACUGGGAUCUGGUCCUUGGCAUCACAGAACUCUCCACCUAGUAGAGAACGCAAGCACAUUCACAAUCUGUGGACGAUGUCACAUGAGCAUCAUUGCAAAGUGCCACCAGGACUGCGACAAUGAUUGAGCUAAAGCUGUCCUGCAGCUAUGAGUCCUUGGGCAAAUUGUAUCAACUCCGAGGCUCAGGAAAACGGAGACACGAGCAAUGACAUCACUCUCUAGCCUUUUUAUCAUGUUUGACAGCUCCCUGAUAAUUUCAUAAUCACUGCCUGAUUUAAAACUUACACCAGAGUAGGGAAGGAAGCAUUAUGAUUAGCUCUUCCCUCUAGAUCUGGACUCCCAGGCAUGGGGCCCUGACCUGACUGUCAGAUGGGUCAUCUGGAAAAGAACCAGGAAGGUAACUGGACUCAGUCCCCAGUGGCCUGCCUCUUUAAGGUGAACAGCGGUGAUCUCUGAGUUCCUUCUAGCAUUACAGUUCUACAGAUCUACAAAUUCAUCAAAGGUGGACGACUACCUGGAACUAAGGAGGAGGCUUUGGAUAAACAUUCAUAAGGAUCAGAAAACCGAAAAGAAUCAGCAUUUCUUUUCCCUCUAAACUCAGCUAUCAAUCAAAGAUUUCUUAAUUCAAAUGACUUAAUAUGUUUUAGUAAGAACCUCAAACUAUUUUAUAUUUUAAUAAUUUAAAUUACACAAAUAGAAUGUGACUAUAUUUUUACUGCAGAAAGUUCAACUAUCUAAAAGCAAAUGUCCCUUUGACUGUCCCUCCUGAUCCCAAUCCUUACUCCCUGCUACUCCCCGCUCUUCUCCUCCUUGUCCCCCACCCCUCACUGCUACCAUUAGUACUGUCAGUAUCAUUUUAACCCUUCACUUUAUGCAACUAAUUAUA